rnacentral:rRNA from 1 species
GUGGGGAAUAUUGGACAAUGGGCGAAAGCCUGAUCCAGCCAUGCCGCGUGUGUGAAGAAGGUCUUCGGAUUGUAAAGCACUUUAAGUUGGGAGGAAGGGCAGUAAGUUAAUACCUUGCUGUUUUGACGUUACCAACAGAAUAAGCACCGGCUAACUUCGUGCCAGCAGCCGCGGUAAUACGAAGGGUGCAAGCGUUAAUCGGAAUUACUGGGCGUAAAGCGCGCGUAGGUGGUUCAGCAAGUUGAAGGUGAAAUCCCUGGGCUCAACCUAGGAACUGCUUUCGAAACUGCGCAUCUGGAGUGAUGGAGAGGAGAGCGGAAUUCCCGGUGUAGAGGUGAAAUUCGUAGAUAUCGGGAGGAACACCAGUGGCGAAGGCGGCUCUCUGGCCAUUGACUGACGCUGAGAUGCGAAAGCGUGGGGAGCAAACAGGAUUAGAUACCCUAGUAGUCC